UUGGACAAUGGGCGCAAGCCUGAUCCAGCCAUGCCGCGUGUGUGAAGAAGGCCUUCGGGUUGUAAAGCCCUUUCAGCGGGGAGGAAGGCCAGUAGGUUAAUACCNUGUUGUUUUGACGUUACCCACAGAAUAAGCACCGGCUAACUUCGUGCCAGCAGCCGCGGUAAUACGGAGGGUGCAAGCGUUAAUCGGAAUUACUGGGCGUAAAGCGCGCGUAGGUGGUUUGUUAAGUCGGAUGUGAAAGCCCCGGGCUCAACCUGGGAACUGCAUUCGAAACUGGCCAGCUAGAGUGUGGUAGAGGGUGGUGGAAUUCCCGGUGUAGCGGUGAAAAUGCGUAGAGAUCGGGAGGAACACCCGUGGCGAAGGCGGCUCACCUGGACCUAACACUGACACUGAGGUGCGAAAGCGUGGGGAGCAAACAGA
rnacentral:rRNA from 1 species